rfam:Triticum aestivum genome assembly, contig: Triticum_aestivum_CS42_TGACv1_scaffold_515513_6BS
UUUGUACUCCCUCCGUCCCAAAAUUCUUGUCUUAAAUUUGUCUAAAUAUGGAUGUAUCUAGUUACAUUUUAGUGUUAGAUGCAUCCAUAUCUAAACAAAUGUAAGACAAGAAUUUUGGGACGGAGGGAAUACUAC